GGGUGAGCAUUUCCACAUUGCUUAGUAGGGUGCCUAACACCCAAUGGGUUAAAGGGAUUACUAAGUUCCAAAGAACACAAAAAGAACAUUUCAACAGUAUUAAUCAAACCACAUAGUUUAAUAUCUAAUAUUAUACACAAUUCCACAACAUUCAACAAUUAAAUGAAUACACAUGAACGAGUAACACACAGUCAUACAAUGCACUAUUGUUCUCGGGCUUUCACCAAAGGAUACGCGUCCGCACCUAAAUACACUCCCCAUUCGGAGUCUUCCCGAGGUAAACUUUUGGGUCUUUCACCCUAGGGAUCUCUCUCCUUUCUUAAUUCGCCUCACAUGGGCUUUUACUUUUCAUCACUAUUUUUUUUUUUCCAUUUCAUACACUUUUCACAAUUUUCAUAAUUUCUUCACACAACCAUGAUGCAAAUGAAUGCCACAAUUCCAAAGUUUCUCAAUAAUU
rnacentral:lncRNA from 1 species